rnacentral:rRNA from 1 species
UUCGCUGACGAGUGGCGGACGGGUGAGUAAUGUCUGGGAAACUGCCUGAUGGAGGGGGAUAACUACUGGAAACGGUAGCUAAUACCGCAUAACGUCGCAAGACCAAAGAGGGGGACCUUCGGGCCUCUUGCCAUCGGAUGUGCCCAGAUGGGAUUAGCUUGUUGGUGGGGUAACGGCUCACCAAGGCGACGAUCCCUAGCUGGUCUGAGAGGAUGACCAGCCACACUGGAACUGAGACACGGUCCAGACUCCUACGGGAGGCAGCAGUGGGGAAUAUUGCACAAUGGGCGCAAGCCUGAUGCAGCCAUGCCGCGUGUAUGAAGAAGGCCUUCGGGUUGUAAAGUACUUUCAGCGGGGAGGAAGGGAGUAAAGUUAAUACCUUUGCUCAUUGACGUUACCCGCAAAAGAAGCACCGGCUAACUCCGUGCCAGCAGCCGCGGUAAUACGGAGGGUGCAAGCGUUAAUCGGAAUUACUGGGCGUAAAGCGCACGCAGGCGGUUUGUUAAGUCAGAUGUGAAAUCCCCGGGCUCAACCUGGGAACUGCAUCUGAUACUGGCAAGCUUGAGUCUCGUAGAGGGGGGUAGAAUUCCAGGUGUAGCGGUGAAAUGCGUAGAGAUCUGGAGGAAUACCGGUGGCGAAGGCGGCCCCCUGGACGAAGACUGACGCUCAGGUGCGAAAGCGUGGGGAGCAAACAGGAUUAUAUACCCUGGUAGUCCACGCCGUAAACGAUGUCGACUUGGAGGUUGUGCCCUUGAGGCGUGGCUUCCGGAGCUAACGCGUUAAGUCGACCGCCUGGGGAGUACGGCCGCAAGGUUAAAACUCAAAUGAAUUGACGGGGGCCCGCACAAGCGGUGGAGCAUGUGGUUUAAUUCGAUGCAACGCGAAGAACCUUACCUGGUCUUGACAUCCACGGAAGUUUUCAGAGAUGAGAAGGUGCCUUCGGGAACCGUGAGACAGGUGCUGCAUGGCUGUCGUCAGCUCGUGUUGUGAAAUGUUGGGUUAAGUCCCGCAACGAGCGCAACCCUUAUCCUUUGUUGCCAGCGGUCCGGCCGGGAACUCAAAGGAGACUGCCAGUGAUAAACUGGAGGAAGGUGGGGAUGACGUCAAGUCAUCAUGGCCCUUACGACCAGGGCUACACACGUGCUACAAUGGCGCAUACAAAGAGAAGCGACCUCGCGAGAGCAAGCGGACCUCAUAAAGUGCGUCGUAGUCCGGAUUGGAGUCUGCAACUCGACUCCAUGAAGUCGGAAUCGCUAGUAAUCGUGGAUCAGAAUGCCACGGUGAAUACGUUCCCGGGCCUUGUACACACCGCCCGUCACACCAUGGGAGUGGGUUGCAAAAGAAGUAGGUAGCUUAACCUUCGGGAGGGCGCUUACCAC